rnacentral:rRNA from 1 species
CCUACGGGUGGCAGCAGUGAGGAAUAUUGGUCAAUGGACGAGAGUCUGAACCAGCCACGUAGCGUGAAGGAUGACUGCCCUCUGGGUUGUAAACUUCUUUUAUAUGGGAAUAAAAUGUUCCACGUGUGGGAUUUUGUAUGUACCAUAUGUAUAAGGAUCGGCUAACUCCGUGCCUGCAGCCGCGGUACUACGGAGGAUCCGAGCGUUAUCCGGAUUUAUUGGGUUUAAAGGGAGCGUAGGUGGAUUGUUAAGUCAGUUGUGAAAGUGUGCGGCUCAACGGUAAAAUUGCAGUUGAAACUGGCAGUCGGGAGUACAGUAGAGGUGAGCGGAAUUCGAGGUGUAGGGGUGAAAUGCUUAGAUAUCAGGAAGAACUCC